CUAGUCACAGUUGGUUCAGAACUCUCUCGGCCCCACUUACCUCACAAGAUAGGAGGGAAAGGCAGUGUACAAAUCCAAACUCUUCUUCUUGAUGUGUGGAAAAAGGCACUUGAAGCUUUUCAUGGCUUGGAGGUAAAUCAGAUCCCCUACAGCCUUGUUAAAAGGAUGGAAUAUUUUUCUCCAGGUGUGUUGGCAACCCUGCCUGCAUUUUAUGAGAACCCGCUUCCUUCAACCUGUGGGACACUAUGCAAUGUUGAUUUGGAGACCAGAGAAAGGAGUGUUGAAAUCUGUUAGGGCUGCCAAUAUUUUUGGUGUCUCUGCUGCUGUGCCUUUAAGUGUGUGUGUGUGUGGAAAGUGUUGUCAAGUCACUUCCAUCCCAUGGCAACCCUACAGCUCAAUGUCCUCCAAAACAUUCUUGCAAACUGAGGGCCGAGGCUUCCUUUAAAUUAAAAAAAAACCCUGAAAUUUUGUUGAAAAAGUUAUGUUUUUAAAGGAAAGGAAAGAAAAAUGCAAGUACAUAAUCAGUCUUCCACCAUGCAGGAAGAUAUCUUAGAAUAGGGAUUUGAUACUCUUGUGCAAUUUCUCUGCAUCUCGUUGCUGUGAAAGGCACAGCAGUAGAGGCAGUUCUUUUAGAAAGUUAGCAACUAUUGUAUCUCCUGCCUUUUUCGCCAGCUAUAGAAGUCCUGAUGCCAAUAAGGUUUGUGGCUCAGACUUUCAAAGAGCAUUUUGUGUUGCCUUAGAAGAAUAGUUGAAUAGCUCGCCCUAAGUCAAGACAGCUUGUGGAUGCUCAGUUGAGAGAAAAAUGUGCUGUGCACCAACUCAGAGAGACGCUCCUCCUGUUCUUUCAUGUAUUUCAGGACCUGUUACGUCCAGGGACUGUCCUGUGCAAAUGGCGAAGUGUGAGUGAGAUAAUGCGUGAAUAUAGGCCACGCAAAGUCAGUCAAGCCAUUAUCUCUUUAGAUUACUUACGUAUAAAUACACACACAUGCUUAAGUGGUGCAUGAUUUAAUUUCUAAAGUAGAGGGAUUUGCUACUGCAGAAACCUGCCUUGCAGCUUUGCCUUUAAUCCUAGCUGGCUAAGUUUUCUGAAGGGGUUGGGGGCAGGGCAGAGAGAGAGAGAGUUAUCUUAAAGAUUUACUCGAGUGCUAUAGGAAAAAGUACUGUCUACUCCCACAUCUAAUAAUGAGAUUUGGGAUCUCACCGUGAAGUUGAUUUACGCCCUAUUCAAGAUAGUUAAAUAAAACCUCCAUGUUCAAGGCAGUGUACUUUUAAAUACUAGAGUCACAGGAGGGAAGAGUUGUUGCCUUCAUGUGUGGCUUUCUCAAAGGCAUACUAUCAGCCAUUAUUGAGGAGAGAACAAUGGUAUAGGGGGACUUUUGGUUUCACCCAGCAACAGUAUUAGGUCAGGAUCGGGCUAAAGUUAAGUACUUUCAAGUCCCAUUGAUUUAACAAAGAGCUUUCAAAAUCUGCAAAAGAGGCAUAAAACAUGUUCACUCAAAUGCAAGUUCUGUUGUGUUCAGUAGAUAGUAAUCCCAUGAGAGUCUGCAUAGGACUGCAGUCUUAAAAAGUAUUUGCGUUGUAGUUGGAGGAAAGCACUUUGCACAUGCUCAGAAGCCCGUGUCAUUGUAUGAUCCACUGCAGGAUCCAGUUCAUUGUAGGAUUGCGUGACUAAUCAGCCUCACAGGAUGUUUGUUGUGAGGGGGGAAGGGCAAGGAGAUUGUAAGCCCCUUUGAGUCUCCUACAGGAGAGAAAGGGGAGAUAUAAAUCCAACUCUUCUUCUUCUUUUGUGCCAAGAAUAAAAUCCAUCUCCUUCUCCUACCUUCCUCCACUCUGCAUCACAAGUAAUUUCCCCUUGCCUAUAACAACCACACUGCUGGCUCUUCAGAACAGAAGAAGAACAAACUUAUACAGAGACACCUCAUUGUAUUAAAAUAGUUGGUGUAUUUUUA